rnacentral:rRNA from 1 species
UAUUGGACAAUGGGCGCAAGCCUGAUGCAGCCAUGCCGCGUGAGUGAUGAAGGCCUUAGGGUUGUAAAGCUCUUUUAGCGGAGACGAUAAUGACGGUAUCCGCAGAAAAAGCCCCGGCCAACUUCGUGCCAGCAGCCGCGGUAAUACGAAGGGGGCUAGCGUUGCUCGGAAUCACUGGGCGUAAAGCGCACGUAGGUGGGUCGUUAAGUCGGGGGUGAAAUCCCGGAGCUCAACUCCGGAACUGCCUUCGAUACUGGCGACCUUCGAGUCCGGGAGAGGUGAGUGGAACUGCGAGUGUAGAGGUGAAAUUCGUAGAUAUUCGCAAGAACCCCAGGGCGAAGCGGCUCACGGCCCGGUACUACACUGAGGUCGAAA